CUGCGUGUGGUUCAGAUCACCGCUGCUGCUUGGGGCUGACUGCCGGGUUGCCGCCGAACCGGUUCGGAGACCGCCGCUGUUUCGGUUCAACCGUUCCUUCUUCGGUUCGAGUUGUUGAGACUGUUACAAAAGCGGCUUGGAGCCGAGAUUUUGAUUGCCGGUGAUUUCGAGUUGAGGAGGAAAGGACUCUGUGAGACGUUUGGGUUAUG